rnacentral:lncRNA from 1 species
UUUGCAUAAUGACGAUUUGGAACUCAACCUAUUCUACUAGAAUGUCCAAUUUAAUGCCAAUUAAGUCUGGAAUUGAAUGAUGUUCUCUGGGAAUCCUGCACAGAUGAGCCUCAGUGGCGCUGGCUGCAGAGACCGUGAUCACUCACUUUGGCUUCUUGGAACCGCCCUAGCACAGGGCUGUGGGCUCCCUCACCUGGCCUGGCCCUCGGGCUACCCCUGCCACUGCCUUGAUGGGAGAAGCCGCUGGAUGGGCAGCCUCACGUGUGCUGGAAGAAGUCCUGGCCUGGAGCCCACAGGCCUGUCCCACACCUGUUCCAGGAAGCCUGCCUGGACUGCCCUCCAUCCGGAGUCUCCGACGUCUCCGUGCCUGUUCUGGUGAGGUCGUUCCAUGCUGGAACCUCUCUGGCUUUUGCAGAGAAGCUCUGAGGUCCUCUGGCUGACUUGCGUUCAUCCUGAAAACAUUAGGCUCCGGGUGGCCCAGUCUGUGUGCCGGAGUGUGGCGUGGAGGCUGGAGGCUCGCCCUGCUGUCAGCUGACCUGGGCUGGCGCCUGGGGGGCCCCUGGAACUGGUGACUUGGGGGGCUUGUAGGGGUGGCUAUCUCCCCGCUUUGGGUUGAUGUGAGUCACACACACGGUGCACGGGUGUGUGAGCCAGCCCCAGUCAACGAAGCUGUUAGGACUUUUGUAUUUAUUUUGGACAAUCACCAGGGGGGCCAGGGUGACUGCAGCAGAGUGGGCUGGGAGGGCAGAGAGCAGAAAGGGCCGGGUGAGGACUUGCCUCUUCCUGUAAGAUAGUGUGUCCUGAGCGUGGCCACCAGGCCUCCCUCACUGUCCCUAGGGUGAAGUCUAGCUCCUCUGCUGACCCCUGUGGAGUCCCAUGACUCCUCCAAAAGGCUCGAUUCCCACAGCCUCCCCUGGCUGGAGCAGCCCAAGCCGUGCAGGCUUGCGGAUCCCACGGGAUGUAGGGGCUCUGGGGUUGCCCCGGAAUCUUCCGAGAGUAGCCUCCUGGGUGCUCCAUCGUGGUGGGCUUCCCCAGAGAGUGCCUCACGUUUGGGGGCGAGGAGGGCACUUGCUGAAUGAAGGCCAAAAUGGGGCAGAAAAAUGCCCGUGCUGUGCAGAGCUGGCAUCUAAGGCCAUGCUGGCCCAUGAGCAUCUUCCUGUGUCCUGACAGCGGAACCCGGAGGCAGAGGGCUUGCCUGCCACUCUCACUCUGAGACUCUUCGAGAAUGAGCUUGGUGACCCUCCAGGCCCUGGCCCCGAUGGAACCUCCCUGGAGGGGGCUAUUGGCUGAUGUACUUGCCCCCGCUGAGACCUGGGCCUGCUGAAGAUGAGCCCCCAGCCCCAGGAGAGCCAGGAACGAUGCUAAAGCUUCCUGAUUCGUGACCCUGGCUAAGCAAAUGUAACGGCCCCAUUGACUCGCAGCCAUUGGAGAACUGAGCUUAAGAAUCUUUUGGCGGUCUGGAAACUUGGAAAAAGAAAGGGGCAACGUAUCCCACUUGAGCCAAGGCCAUACUUUCCCGGCUGCUCAGAAGACAUUUCUCUGUCUCCCCUGCUCUUCCCCAUCUUGAAUGUGGAUGUCCUGGCUGGGAACACAGCAGCCAACUCGUGAGUGUGGGUAACAAGCAGGGACAAAAGACCACCAGAGUCACAGAGACGCAGCUGCGGUGACACCGAGAUCCACUCGGCUCUCUUCUCUUCUGCGUCCUGCUCUAUGGCCUGGGAAGCUGAUCUCCAAGGAUCGCAUUCCUAGGGCUCUCUGGCCCAUGGGCUUCCCGUUGGGUUUGCCCAAUGGACAGCCAUGGCAGAAGAUCAAAGGGAAGAUGGCAGGAAGCUGUCCCCCACUCCUCGCCUGGCUGAGUUCUGGCGAUGGCUGCCAUCCAGGGUCCUGAGUCCCACCAGUUUUUACCCCUUGAAGUGAGAAAGAACACGUCUACAACCCUCCCUCAUUCCAGAGGCUGUGUUUUUGCCCUUUGGUCAUGCAGAUGGGGCUAAAGCGAAGUUACAACAUUGGAAAAUGUCUUCUUAACGUCACACUGAUCUCCUUAAGGCAACGAGCCCCACAUGCUCUCUGAGGCCUGUGCACGUGUUCUGAGGACCCAGUUAUGUGCUGCGUGAUUCCAGAGGUGAACAGACCCUCACAGAUCACCUCUCCUCACCCUCUCAUGAGAGGGAAACUGAGGCUCAGGGGGAGAAUUGGCAAAGGUUACACUUGGUGGUGGGUUUGGAAUCUGCCCUGUGGACGCCCGACUAACCAUUUCUGCCAGAUGCGCGUGGGAAGUAAAAUGGGAAGAGGUGCUCCAUAGGAGGAGGGGACGUGGGUACAGUCACGUGGACCCGUGAGCCGGUCACCUGCGAGGCACCAGGGCCUACAGGAAAGGUGCCCGCUGUCGGCUUCCGCAGGGAAUUUCGUUAUCUUUGUGAGGUAGGGUGGAACUUGCAUCCUGAACAUUAAAGUUUACAUGCCAAGGAGGGCGGUGGAGUCCUUGGAACUUCCUGCCUCCCCCUGAGGCUGCCUCCCCAUGCGAUUGACCUGGUCUGGCUGGGCCUGAUGCUGGGCUCAAAGAGAACACAGGUCUCACCCUCCUAUGUGGCGUGUGGUGAAGACUAAGGAGGUCCCCAGGACCCUGAGGGUUGCCCUUGGGUGCAUUGGAGUAGAGGCCAGGGAAGUCCAUGUCCUUUCCGAGCCAGGCCUUGCCGCCGAGGUACAGCCACAGUGUCCCCCUUCCAGCUGCAGAGCCGCUGCUUCCUCAUCUGUCAGGUGGGAACAACGACCCCCACUCUGUGCACCUCACUGGCAGUAGCGAGCACGAAGUGUGAGGGUGGACUCUGCAAGGUGGAAGCCAUGUCCCUGCAGGUUGCAUCUGUGCUGCCUGCCCUGCUGAGGGACGGGAACAGCAGCAUAGCCUUCGGUACCACGUACCUUGUUUGUCAAAACUGGACCUGCCACAGCGCGGUGGCCCUUCUCCUGGGGAAACACACUGUGCCCCAGGAGGUGUGUGGACAAACACCUUCACAGCACUGAUGCUGAGACAGCCAGAGCCCAGAAACGCCCAGCCGCCCCCGGUAGGAAAAUGAAUAAGUAAAUUGGGGCAAUUGGAGAUUGUGAUGUCUCUCUUGCUGAAGACCACCUGGCUGGAUUUGCUGGGGUGGGACCCAGACCGGGACGUUUUCAUACACACAAAACGGGCUGUGCCAGGUGGCCUUCUCCAGGGCACGGUGGGUGGGGGAGUCUCAGGCUGCCACGUGCCUGGCAGGCUUGGGACGAGGUGAAGGGAGGUGAGUGUUCGUGGGGAUGCUGGGACCCCAUUCGGGCCAGGUCAAUCACAUGGGGAGAUACAGUAUCAACAGUAAAGGAUCUUUAGAUAUGUAAACACACAGAUAAGUGGCCGGUGUAAUGUGCAGAAAAUGCUAAACAACAGAAUGCAAUAAUACAAAGUUCCAAAGCAGGCAACCCUAAACUCCAUGUUC